CCUACGGGAGGCAGCAGUAGGGAAUCUUCCACAAUGGGCGAAAGCCUGAUGCAGCAACGCCGCGUGGGUGAAGAAGGUCUUCGGAUUGUAAAACCCUGUUGUUAGAGAAGAAAGUGCGUGAGAGUAACUGUUCACGCUUCGACGGUAUCUAACCAGAAAGCCACGGCUAACUACGUGCCAGCAGCCGCGGCAAUACGGAGGUGGCAAGCGUUAUCCGGAUUUAUUGGGCGUAAAGGGAACGCAGGCGGUCUUUUAAGUCUGAUGUGAAAGCCUUGGGCUUAACCGGAGUAGUGCAUUGGAAACUGGGAGACUUGAGUGCAGGAGAGGUGAGUGGAACUCCAUGUGUAGCGGUGAAAUGCGUAGAUAUAUGGAAGAACACCAGUGGCGAAGGCGGCUCACUGGUCUGUAACUGACGCUGAGGUUCGAAAGCGUGGGUAGCAAACAGGAUUAGAUACCCUGGUAGUC
rnacentral:rRNA from 1 species